rnacentral:rRNA from 1 species
UACGGAGGGUGCAAGCGUUGUCCGGAUUCAUUGGGUUUAAAGGGUGCGUAGGCGGCUUAUUAAGUCUGUGGUGAAAGCCGGCGGCUCAACUGUCGAACUGCCAUUGAUACUGAUAAGCUUGAGUAGAGUCGAGGUAGGCGGAAUUUAUGGUGUAGCGGUGAAAUGCAUAGAUACCAUAAAGAACACCGAUAGUGAAGACAGUUUACCAGGCUACAACUGACGCUGAGGCACGAAAGCAUGGGGAUCGAACGGG